rnacentral:rRNA from 1 species
GAUGAACGCUGGCGGCGUGCCUAAUACAUGCAAGUCGAGCGAACGGACGAGAAGCUUGCUUCUCUGAUGUUAGCGGCGGACGGGUGAGAAACACGUGGAUAACCUACCUAUAAGACUGGGAUAACUUCGGGAAACCGUAGCUAAUACCGGCUAAUAUUUUGAACCGCAUGGUUCAAAAGUGAAAGACGGUCUUGCUGUCACUUAUAGAUGGAUCCGCGCUGCAUUAGCUAGUUGGUAAGGUAACGGCUUACCAAGGCAACGAUGCAUAGCCGACCUGAGAGGGGGAUCGGCCACACUGGAACUGAGACACGGUCCAGACUCCUACGGGAGGCAGCAGUAGGGAAUCUUCCGCAAUGGGCGAAAGCCUGACGGAGCAACGCCGCGUGAGUGAUGAAGGUCUUCGGAUCGUAAAACUCUGUUAUUAGGGAAGAACAUAUGUGUAAGUAACUGUGCACAUCUUGACGGUACCUAAUCAGAAAGCCACGGCUAACUACGUG